UUCGAACCAUCGGGCCUUCGCGUCGGGCCGCGUUAUCGCGUAACCCGACCUUUCGUGAAAACAGCCACAUUUAUUUACGAAAGGUCGGGUUUACCAUUUGUGAAAUAUACCCGUUAAAUCUACGAAUAGUUGGGUGCAUUAACCCGACUCUUCGUAAAAUUUAGCCAGCAAAUAUACGAAGGGUCGCGUCCUUCACGCACAUUUCUACAACAAAUAAAUAUGAUGAAAACGGCUUGAAUAAAAACUAGCAUUCAAUCCGCACAAAGUCAGCCUUUGCCUUGAGAAGUUUAGAGAUUUUUCUACUACUUCGGCCUUCAUGCCAUGGAUCUAUUGAUCUGAUGCUAGCUACUGAAGAGUGACGAGCAAAAAAAAGGGCAAAGCAUCAUGGAUUGCCUUUCUGAUAUGGAUUGCUCAUCCGAUGAGGAAGGAAACAUAUUACCAAACCUUAGCUGCUCAGGAGCAGGAACAGAGCAAAGUACUACUUCAACACUCUUAUCUGAUGACAACAAAGAGAUAGAUCUAGAUGACAUGCCAAGCUGCUCUACUGCAAGAGUUCAGGAAAGGUAGGAAAACAGAUAUUUCUUAUUGAAGUUCUCAGCAACCAUCCAUGAAGAUCAUUCUUCACAGUGUAUUUGAAGCUGAUUUCUCUAUUGAUGCUAAGAAUGUGAAUACAGUGGAAUGGGUUUAUUAGCACUAUAAUCAUUUCAUCGGAUGACAUCGAGAUAGAUGACAUGCCAAGCUACUCUACUGCAACAGUUCAGGAAAGGUAGGGAAAAGGAUCUCUUAUUGAAUUUUUCAGCAAGUAUCACACAUGAAGAAAUUUCCUCCCAAAUAAUGGAAUGAUGAGAUUAAAAUAUAAGUUGUAUCUUAAAGAAAAGCCAGUAGCCAAAAAAGAGAGGUAAUCUGACCGUUUGAGAAUGGCUAGUAAUAUCAAGGAGGUGUACUUGGGGUCAUGGCUUUUUCUGUGAUGUAAUUUUCUUAGUGAUGAAAUAAGGGUCAGAUAUUACAGCUUUACAUGUGCCCAGUACAUGGUUUAAAGGGGAAACACAAUAAACCUUUGUGCCUUUAAUGAAUAGUAAUUUCAAUGUACCGGUAUUUAAAACCAAUUUUCUCUUUUCACAUAAACUGAAUCCACUGGAAUUGGUUUAUUAUUUAGAGAUAGACAGCAGACUGUUC